rnacentral:lncRNA from 1 species
UCUAGGCGAGAUCUUCAUGCAAACCAAGCGAAAUAUACAUCUCAUACGCCAACACUACACAACCUCUAAAUUUAAUUAUGGCUCUACGGUUCUAAAGAAGGUUCCUAUAGUCACGUACCUUAUUUGGGAGCAUUUCCAUCAAUAACGAAUGAACCAUUAGAUGAUACACAACCUCUAACUAAACUUAAGCUUUUUCAUACUCAGGUAUAGAGCCCUCUCCAAAGUGUGUGUAAGGUGAAGGAAA